rnacentral:misc_RNA from 1 species
CCGACCGAAAUGGUGACGCGGCCGAGGAUCUCGCCCGUCGACUUCUUCUUGAGCUGCUUCGACAUCACCGCGCGGCGGAUGUUGUCGGCAACCGUCAAUGCCUGCCGCAAGGCGGUGUUCGGCAGCACCACAGCGAAUUCCUCGCCGCCAUAGCGCGCCGUGAUGUCCUGACCCUUGAUCGUCUGCUUCAGCGACAUCGCGACGAGGCGCAGCACCUGGUCACCGGUGAGGUGGCCGUAGUUGUCGUUGAAUGAUUUGAAAUGGUCGAUGU